UUUUUUUUUGUGUGACAAAAGUAACCCUCCAAUCGAAACAUGGAGUGGUUGUUGUAGCUAAUUCAUUUCACCUCUCUUCUCCAAUGAGUUUCUGAAAACGAAUUAGGUUUCGUUGAGAGAAAAAUGUAAAAGAAAAUCUCAACAAGUUUUCAUAUAAAUCAGGGAGUUAGUAUUCGUUUAUUGAGUUUAAGAAAGCACAAAUCGAUUCAAUCCAUCUUCAAAACCAAAGUCUGAUUAUCAGUUAGCAGUUGAUUCAGCAAGCCUGGAUCCGACAUCGUCGACAUCUAUUCUCAAAGAAUUAGCUUGAUAUUGAUGUGGAUGGUAGAUGAAAUCACCAACAACACUUGAAUCUUAAGAUUCAUCAACAAUUAGGUUUUCUGCUUCUCCAUCUUUGAGUCCUCAGUUUAAUGGAUAUGAUUGCAGACAAAUUGUCAAAUCACGUUGAAAGGUUAAGUGCUUGUGUUAUAUGUGUUUGGUUAGGAAAUUAGACAAACAAGGUUUUGAAUCCUUCAAGCACAGGUCGGAUUGAAGUUGUUCAGAAAUCAUUUGAGAGGGAUUUCCUUUUCCAUCCUCCAGGAGAAUGUGCAUCACUGCUUCCGUAUAUGCUUCAGCUGAAGGAGUAAAGUUUCUAAAUACAGUGUGUACAAACUGGUACACUAGUAUUUACUCUUCGUUGGUUAAUGUUCUGGUUAUAUAUAUUUUAAUACAUCGUCGAAUGCCCAAGGAUUUUGAUGGUAUGUAAGUGCUAAUAUAAUACUACCAAGCUGGGUCCAGGGAAUGGUUAUGACGUGUUAACUAAUUUAGGAAAUGUUUGAGCAGCUUAGUGAUAGUCCAUGGAUUAGUCUAAUCGUCAUAUCUUCAGGGUCUGGAUCUUUAUAGUGGAUUAAAGCUUUAGUCUUUUGUGUAUGUGUGGUGUUUGAAGUAUUGUACAACAGUAGCAUUUUUUGGUUAUAAAACUAUUUAUGUGGCAUAAGCAUAAGGUUUGAAUGAAUUAACUUAAUAGUAAACUUGUUUAUAGCAAAAGAUGAAUGUCUUUGAGAGUUGUGUUUUAAUUUUUGGUGUAAACGGGGUGCUUGUGAGUCACUAACUAAAUCAUGUGGCUGUUGUGGAAGCAUCAUGGAGGAUGAGAUGCAGUGUGAACAGUGUGAGUCAACAUGUGAUUUCGCUACCCACUUCUUCUGCCAUUACUGUGCUUUAUGCCAAGAAGUGAGAGAGAUGCAACGUAGGUCUCCACAACCCAGGUUAAUGCUAGGGACCGUCUUUGUUAUAUAUGAUGCUCCCAACAGAGCAGAUAUUAUGCCGCAGUUGUAAUGCUUGGAAUAUGUUACCCUUUGGUGUACUAAUCAGGCAUUUGAGAGGCAGUAUUGAUGCAAGUUGUGUAUUGAUCCAUCUACAACACAAGGAGAGGGGUUCUACUAUGAUGCAUUUUAUGGUGAUCUUGGCUUGAGUGAGGAUCGCUAAAUCAUCAAUAAACAUGGGAGAAAAAUGUUGUGGAACGUGUUUUUUUUUUUUUUAGAAACUUAUCUUAAAAUCAUAACUUGUCUUGUAGGACCACAAUUGGAACCUUUUCUGCCCGUUAAUUUUUUUUUCUUUCCAAAUUUAAACCAUGGCACUGCUCACUUGCCCAUUAUGAGGAGUC